rnacentral:rRNA from 1 species
CCCUUAGAUGUUCUGGGCCGCACGCGCGCUGCACUGACGGAGCCAACGAGUACUUUCCUUGUCCGGAAGGACUGGGUAAUCUUGUGAAACUUCGUCGUGCUGGGGAUAGAGCAUUGCAAUUAUUGCUCUUCAACGAGGAAUUCCUAGUAAGCGUGAGUCGUCAGCUCGCGUUGAUUACGUCCCUGCCCUUUGUACACACCGCCCGUCGCUACUACCGAUUGAAUGGCUUAGUGAGCCUUUGGGAUUGGUAGCUUGUACCGGCAACGGUAGCAGGCCGCUGAAAACUUAGGCAAACUUGGUCAUUUAGAGGAAGUAAAAGUCGUAACA